ACCUGAAUCAGGUAGGCAGUGUAUUGUUAGCUGGCUGCUUUGGGUCAAGUCAGCAGCCACGACUACCCUGCCACUUGCUUCUGGAUAAAUUCUUCU
rnacentral:pre_miRNA from 1 species